rnacentral:lncRNA from 1 species
CGCUGCGGCCGCUAUCCCCUCCGGACCAUGGCCGACGACGACGUGCUGUUCGAGGAUGUGUACGAGCUGUGCGAGGUGAUCGGAAAGGGUCCCUUCAGUGUUGUACGACGAUGUAUCAACAGAGAAACUGGGCAACAAUUUGCUGUAAAAAUUGUUGAUGUAGCCAAGUUCACAUCAAGUCCAGGGUUAAGUACAGAAGAGAUCUAAAGCGGGAAGCCAGUAUCUGUCAUAUGCUGAAACAUCCACACAUUGUAGAGUUAUUGGAGACAUAUAGCUCAGAUGGAAUGCUUUACAUGGUUUUCGAAUUUAUGGAUGGAGCAGAUCUGUGUUUUGAAAUCGUAAAGCGAGCUGACGCUGGUUUUGUGUACAGUGAAGCUGUAGCCAGCAUCUUAGACAAACAUAGCUGGAAACAACUUGGAGACCACCUUAAUACAGCUUUGAGCUCAGCAUGACUUGAAUGUCUUCAAAUUCAUUGCCCUGACUCCUUCUGGCUGAAGAGCAAGGGACCU